rnacentral:rRNA from 1 species
UACGUAGGUGGCAAGCGUUGUCCGGAAUUAUUGGGCGUAAAGAGCUCGUAGGCGGCUUGUCGCGUCGUCCGUGAAAACUCACAGCUCAACUGUGAGCUUGCGGUCGAUACGGGCAGGCUUGAGUUCGGUAGGGGAGACUGGAAUUCCUGGUGUAGCGGUGAAAUGCGCAGAUAUCAGGAGGAACACCGGUGGCGAAGGCGGGUCUCUGGGCCGAUACUGACGCUGAGGAGCGAAAGCGUGGGGAGCGAACAGG